rnacentral:rRNA from 1 species
UACGGAGGGUGCAAGCGUUAAUCGGAAUUACUGGGCGUAAAGGGUGUGUAGGUGGUUUAAUAAGUUAAGUGUAAAAUAUCCGGGCUUAACCUGGAGGAGUCACUUAAGACUGUUGGACUGGAGUAUGGGAGAGGGUAGUGGAAUUUCCGGUGUAGCGGUGAAAUGCGUAGAGAUCGGAAGGAACACCAGUGGCGAAGGCGGCUACCUGGCCUGAUACUGACACUGAGACACGAAAGCGUGGGUAGCAAACAGG